UUUAGUUGUAAACACUUUGGUUAUGUCAAAUAAAUUUGUUUACUAUUUUCUUAUUUUGUAAUAAUUUAGGUGGGUAACUUAAUUAAUAUGGUAAUGGUUAAAGUAUAUAAUGGACAUAAAAGUGCUUUACUUGGUAAAACUUAAUAGAUAACACCCAUACAGCUUUGUUGUGACAACUCUAUAACCUACAAAUGUUGUGUGUAGUGUUCUUACUUGUUUACUAGUGGAAUAUGUGUUAUUUUCUCAACAAAUAUGUUUAGUGUAGUGAUUUUAUCCUAUAAUGUGAGAUAGUGAAGUGUAAUUUGGGUUCCUGGUUGCAGAUCACAGGUCCCAUACGUUAUAUACCAUCUAGAAAAGGUUAUUUAUUGCUACUAAACGGAUACACUUACUGGCAGGAUGCAAGAAAUAAAACUGCAAUUUACUGGUAUUGCUCAAAGAGACACCAGAAAUGCAGGGCGUAUAUAAAAAUGGAUCACUUCAACAGUACAAUAUUGUGUGCGUUCACUAAUCAUAAUCAUGGCAAAUCGAAAUAUGCCUACUGAAUAAUUAUACCUAUAUAUAAUAAAAAAAUAAGCUCAUUUCCGUGUGUGAUGACAGAGUAAAAAGAAAAUGUGAAAGAAAAGGGAGACAUUCCCUUUCGUCAGUGUUUUAAAAGGCGGCUAGUGGAUAAAGCUCAAAAGACUAACCUUGUUAAACAAACGAGCCUGUAGUGUACAUUCCAGCUACUAAAGUGAAACCAACAUUCGUUCACUACCGUAACGGACUGAUUCUACUAUACAACGGGUUUACGUACAGUAAAUCAAAUAGACUUAACUGGUAUUGCUCAAGGAGGGUCACGUGCGGGUGCAAGGCGAAGGUUAAGUUGACCACUGACGAGAAAUACAUUGAUAGGUUGGUGCACUACCAUGUGCACGACCGCGAGAGAUAUGUGCUGUCAGCUGAUGGGAGUCUGACUAAAGUGUAAAUUUUAAAUAUUCUUUGUAUAUUGGAUGAUCUGCAUUGAUAUAGUUUUAGGCUAGAUACACACUGUAAUUCUAGUCACAGUUCGUUCUAGGUCCAAUCUCAAUCGAUUUGGUAAGUAGAAACAUUUCGAGAGGCAUCGUGCUGAGAACCGAAUUGGACUGUAUAUAUAUUAUGAACGCAUUUUUGCUUCUUCUUUUCAUUUAAGAGUUUCCUCUUGUCCGUGUAACUAAUUCAAGGAUUGGAUUGAGAUGGCGUGACAGCGUGAUAGUGUGAAUCUAACUUUAAGGAACUAAAUAUGCGGAUUAUGAAAAAAAAUGUACAUAAAAUAUUAAAACAGCGGUUAGUACUUACAUUGCCAUUGCAUUAUAUUUAAGUGUUAUAUUUGUAUAUACUUCCUUCAAACCUUAAACUGAGUACAAGGACAAUUUGUACGCAAACCUUGCCCACAACUCGUCGGAAAUAUUUUGCGUAUGAUUGGGAAUCUAAUGUAUUGUACGUCAAUGUAAAUGUUCUAACUAAGAUUUUUGAUUUUUUUCACUGGAAAGAUCUGUACAUACAUUAGCUAUUUCUGUUUAUGUGCAAAAAUGUGACUUAAGGUGUCCCUUUCAAAAUUUGUUUUGUCGAUAUUAUAAAGAUGAAAGAUAUGAUUGUUUGUUAGUAAUAAUCGAACUUAAAAGCUACUCAACGGAUGUUAAAAAUUAUAGAAAGAAAGCUAUAUAAAGCUCAUAGAAAGCUAUAAUAUCAGCCGGUAAUACUGGUGGUACUUUUUGAUAAAUGCAGUAAAUGGUUUGUUGCCUUCACGCAUCAUAUUCACACUAAUAAUGAUCAAACAAGCCCAUUUUAUUCCCAUACAUUAUACAAGAUCAAAUUGAUAUGAAGUCAUUUGCAUGCUUUUAAGGGAAUUCUCUAUCAGUGAAACUAAUAGUUAUUCUCGAAAAGACGGACAGUUGCAAAAAUUUCUGUUUCCCAUACUCCUUUGACUCUCGUUGACUACUGUUCCUGUUUCGACUAGUUUCUUUGGAAUUGAUUUUUACUUUUUAUUUACAAAUACUCCCUAAAAUAAAUAACGUCAACGCCACCUGUACAUUAUUUUCAAAUUUUUUAACAUUGCCGGAUUUCAUGACGUUUGGGGUUUUAAUAAAAUUUUAUGAUGGGUGUUUAUUUUGAGGGAUGUUUCAUAGAUCGUAUAAAGUAUUUUAAAAUUUGCCCGUUUCGAUCUCAUUGACACGAAAAUUGUCGUGCCGUCGAGUGCCAUCUUUGUUUACCUAUUGCAUAAAAAUGCAGGUGUACAAUUUUUAAUGUGAAUAUUGUUAUUUAUUUAUUUAUAUUUUUGAUAACAAUUAUGUAUUGUAAGUCUUUAUGUUCCACGGCUAUGUCGUGAGCAACAACAGCUGCUCGCGACACAGCCGUGGAAUGCGCUCAUGAUUAAGAGCUCCUAUUGAAUUCGGAUCAAGUCUGAUCUCUGAAUUUAAAACGUAAGUAAAGCCGACAUAAACAAUUACAAUAUAGUAUAAUUCACGUUUGUUAAUGUAAUAAUCAUAAAGCUGUUUCUAUACGUUUCAAAAAUAUGUCUAUAAAUACAAAUAAAUGGAUAUUAAUUUGAUUUUUUUUUAAUUCCUUACCCCUUUACUCUAAAUCGUUUGAAGGAGGUGGGUCUCAAUAAGGUACCCAAUAUUAAAUUUUUGUAUGAUAUCUAAUGAAUAUAGGUAUUUAAUUAAUGAACUUAUCCGCUUACAAUUAGGUAAACUGUGAAUUUUAUUGUCAUCCUCGAUGUGUUAAACAAAUGAAAUUCUUUUUUUUUUUUGCUUAUAAGAUAUCCUGACUAAAUUUCAUAUUUUUUCUUAAAAGCCUUAAUUUUUGUUCACCUGUUCUCAAGCGAUGCACUUACUAAUUAACCGUUUUAAUUUUUUAUUACGUUUUAUUAGCUAUUAAUUGUCCACUGCUGAAUAUAGGCCUCUCCCUAUUGGGGGUUUUACCAGUAGUUUCCACGUUUGGCCGUCGGGUACGCAACUGCAGUUAGGCUUUAGGGACGCUGUUGCCCAUACCUCACCCAUUAAGACGGUUUUUUGUAUAUAUGAUUUAAAAAAAAAAUAAUAACGAUACAAUAAGCAGCAAAAAUUAAAAUAACUCUGUAUUGCACCAAUUACACAUAUUUAAAUGUAUAAUAAACUGGGCAUAAAAUUACAAAACGUUUAUUGUAAAACAAUAACUUCCAAGCUUUUUUAAGGUAAGUGUUAGUCGUUAUCAAAAGUACUAUACAUGAACGUUUACAGAUUACCAAAACCCAGUAAACACCAUUGCAUACAUUGGAUGAAUAAUGUAUGAGGUCAAAGAUAGUUGAAUAUAUUCGCCACGCAAUGUUUAUAGGAUUUUGAAAUUUUUUGUCUUCAUUUUAAUGCUAUUUCACUCAUGCAGAGUGUAAAUUCAUUCCAACCGUACAAAAAAUGAACUUACUGAUGUUAAAUGGGUACACAUAGUCGUAAAUGGAUUUUUUUUUGUGACACGGGGGCAAACGAGCAUGCGGCUCACCUGAUGGUAAGUGACUACCGCCGCCCAUGGUCACUCACAACACCAACGGCAUUGCAGGUGUGCUGCCGGCCUUUUAUAUAUCAAACAAAAAAAAAGUAGUAACUGUUGGGUUCGUGUCAAGUUGAAUGACAAGCAUAGUAUUAUAAGCGCAAAUGAAAGUCAUAUCCACCGUUGAAUAAUAUACUGUUAUCACGGGGACAGUGCUAGGAAUAUUAUUAAUUUGAAAAUGAACUUAAACUUGACAAUUUGUAGUGUCAAUCAAGACACUCCACUUGGUGGAGAGUGAAUAUGGUCUCACUGUCCGUCAAGUGUUCGUGUCUCAUGGACACCAUAGAAUAUACAGUGUCGUUCAAGGUACCCUUAACGUGUUUAUUGAGAUAUAAGUAAGUGUUAUGCCUCCCUAUUUAAAUUUGAUUAUUGAAAAACAGGCGAAAUAUUUUAAUUCCUGUUGGGUCAACGGAUGAGGACCGUAGCAGGAAAUACGAUAAUAUUACGCCAUGUCACCUAUCGCGAGGACAUGGUGUCUCUCUGUUGAAAUCUUGUACAUAUAAAUAUAAACGAUGAUAUUUUGUUUGUCUUUUUAUGUUAAUUCCAAUAAGGAGCUUUCCGUUUCCCAGUUUUUUUUUGUUAUUACGUAAGUGUAAAUAAACCCGGUUAUGUCGC